CCUGGGCAGACGCACGUUUUGGGGAUUUGGAUACAUUGGUAUUGCUGAGAAAUCAUGCAUAACCGUUUCUGGAAGGAUGUUGCUGCCAUAUUCUCCAUCCUCUCCAGCUGGGGGAUCCCAGUAUGAAAGGUGGAGGAGAGGCUGUUACGGGAGGUGGGGUCACAACUGAAUCCAAGCGAGAUGAGAAGACAAAGACCUGGACAGCAAUCAGGGUCAGAAGAACUUCCACGGGAGGAAGCACAAAGCUGAGGGAUGGACACUUCCACAGGAUUUAUGGCAUGUAAAUUCACACCGUAAUAUGCGGUUCAUUAAAAACGCAUUCCCUUGAA